CUCUGUACUGGCACCCCCCUGUAUAUAUUGUACAUUUUUUACUGCUACUCUUUAAUUACUUGCUACUUUUGUCUUUCAUUCAUUUCCAUAUUUUUUGAAACUGCACUCUCAGUUAGGGGCUCGUAAGUAAGCAUUUCACUCUAAGGUUGUAUUCGGCGCAUGUGACUAAUAACAUUUGAUUUGAUUUGAAGUUGAACUUGUUGACUGAUGCCAUGGAGGUUUCUGCAAAGAAGGAAGCAGCUGCUAAUCAGAAGACUGGAGCCGAGGCAGCACUGGUCCGUCCUCACCUGCCCUGUGUUGGAUGCAGACUCGAAUACAUUCAAGGAGCACUUUGAGAGCAAGCAUCCUUUGUCUCCAAUGGUCCCAGGCUGGUUGAUGUGCAGGCUUAAAGGACCACACACACUCAAAUGGACCUACAGCUGGGGUAAGGCUCUUCCAUCAUUCACACACAAUAAACAGUACCAGUCAAAAGUUUGGACACACCUACUCAUUCAAGGGUUUUUCUAUUUUCUAAAUUGUAGAACAAUAGUGAAGACAUCAAAACUAUGAAAUAGCACUUAUGGAAUCAUGUACUAACCAAUAAAAGUGUUCAAAACAAUCUACAUUUAUUUUAGAUUUUAGUUUCUUCAAAGUAGCCACCCUUUGCCUUGAUGACAUACUUAAACAAGCUUGGAAUUCUCUCAACCAGCUUCACCUGGAAUGCUUUUCCAACAGUCUUGAAGGAGUUCCUGCAUAUGCUGAGCACCUGUUGGCUGCUUUUCCUUCACUCUGUGGUGCAACUCAAUUGGUUUGAGGUUGGGUGAUUGUGGAUGCCAGGUCAUCUGAUGCAGCACUCCAUCACUCAUCUUAUUGGUAAAAUAGCCCUUACACAGCCUGGAGGUGUGUUUUGGGUCAUUGUCCUGUUGAAAAACAAAUGAUAGUCCCACUAAGCGUAAACCAGAUGGGAUGGCAUAUCGCUGCAGAAUGCUGUGGUAACCAGGCUGGUUAAGAGUGCCUUGAAUUCUAAAUAAAUCACAGACAGUAUCAUCAACAAAGCACCCCCACACCAUCGCACCUCCUCCUCUAUGCUUCACUGUGGGAACCACACAUGCGGAGAUCAUCCAUUCACCUACUCUGCGUCUCACAAGACACAGCGGUUGGAACCAAAAAUCUUAAAUUUGGUCUCAUCAGACCAAAGGACAGAUUUCCACUAGUCUAUUACUUGUGUUUCUUGACCCAAGCAACUUUCUUAUUAUUAUUAUUGCUGUCCUCCUCCUGCUUAUUCUGGGGUUCAGACUGAAUGCAGUGGUAAAUGUGCUGCUCACAAUUGACAGCAGCAACAUGGACCUGUUAAAUUGGCAAGAAGGGUGUUGAUAUAGCUGUGUUUAGGCAUGGCUUCCUUGUUUUGAAUCUGUUAAGUGUGUUUCUCAUUCUUCUGGCGUUUACCUAGUAUUUUAUAUAAAAUCUACCUUACACAUCCAGGUUUGCCAAUUCUAACUCGCCCACCAAAAUCUCAAUAUGCUGUUUUACAUUUUGUGUUAUUUGUGCUGGUCUAAUUCCUAAAAUGGAAAAGCAGAAAAAUCUGGACACUCUCGGAUAGAUAUAGUAGUUCAUAUGGUGCUCUUCAAUGUCCCAUGUUUGUGACACUGAUGAAUAAAUAAUUUAAUGUUUACUUAAAUGCAGAUAUUUGUCAUGUAUAAAAUGCAUAUGUAUGCAUUGUUUUACUAUUUAGAUUUCUUUAAAACAAUGUAAUUGUUGGAGUUCAGGUGUUUGACAUGAUUUAUGGGUGACUAGGUUCAUUCUUGUCAAAUAAAUAUGCUUAUUAAUUUCAAGAUUAUGGACACUGCUGUCACACUGACACAAACACUUCUCCAAUAACACCCCACACAACGUGCAAACCUUUUAAUCUGCAAAUGAAAUUAUUUGCGGGACUUCAACUCUCCUUUUCUCCCAUAGUGUGAGAGCUAUUUGUGUUAGAGUAAAGUCAUGGAACUACAUUUAACCUGAAAAAAAGAAACUUUUCAUUUUUUGUAUCAUGUGUGAUUUGAAACAACACAUAUUUGUAUUAUCCGUUCACACAAAUCAAAUCAAAUGUUAUUUGUCACAUACACAUGGUUAGCAGAUGUUAAUGCGAGUGUAGCGAAAUGCUCGUGCUUCUAGUUCUGGCCGUGCAGUAAUAUCUAACAAGUAUUAUAACAAAUUCACAACAACUACCUUAUACACACAAGUGUAAAGGAAUGAAUAAGAAUAUAUGAAUGAGUGAUGGCCGAACGGCAUAGGCAAGAUGCAGUAGAUGGUAUAGAGUACAGUAUGAGAUGAGUACAGGUGAUGAAUUAAUGCUAUCAUAGGUGCUGUCUAAGCAAUCUCUGAUUUGUAGUGUAGAACCAAUCACUAGUAAGGUCAAUGAAAUUGCAUGUGAAUUUGUAUACUGUACAAAAAAGCCAUACAUUUAAUUGAAGUCAAUAAACCUAACUAUUAAUUUGAAGACUAAUGGAUUCAAUUAGGUAUGAUCACACAUAGGUAGAUCAUAAUGGUUCGGUAGUGCUGACAAGACAAAUGACCUGUGUGUUGCUGGUGGAGCAAUCUCAAUGAAUAUAAAUGCAGGUCAACCAUAUUUACACAAUACACAUACAGUAGGCCCAGUGGUAGAGGGGUUUCAUCAAUAGUUUUUAACAUAUUUCCCUAAAAGCACCAAGCCUCUGUUUUAGUAAAAAGUUGGGGCUGGAGAAAUGUAACCACUCACAAAUUCAUUGACAGAGCUAUGAAUGCAAGGAUUGACCAUCCAAGAUAUCAAAAUUAUGUUUUUAUGCAUGUUUUGAGGCAAUACUGUGUUUGUUUACAUGUAAAACAUGUAUGUAACAACUGCAGAUUGCCCCUUUAAAUCCUCUAAAUUCCACAAUUACAAUUUACCACACAACAGAUUAUAAUUGUACAUGUUGUGAAGCAUGUACAGUAUUUUAUGCAUUUAUGGAAAAUCUGUCAUUCAACUAAUUUUUCAAACCGGACUGGUGGAACAUAUCAGAUUGUUGUGAUUUGUAAUUUAAAACAAUUGUGUAUUAUCAUCCCAUUUGUAUGGAGAACUUGUGACACUGGUUUGUAAAAAGGGAUUUGAAAAAUAAUUAUGGAUGUUGCUGCAUUGUUAAUCUCACUCUAACAGUUUUAUUUAUUUAUUUUUAUUUAACUAGGCAAGUCAAAAUGUUUAACUGAAUUAAUUUGUCAUUCAAUAUAAUGAAGAAAUGCACAUGCAUUUAAAUGACCAUAUUACUGCUCUAGAGUAAUUAGAGAUAAAGAAUAGUUCAGACAAGUGGAUACAGACAGAUUUUGUAGAAUUUGUGCUCUACAUGCGUGUUAAAUUGAAUUGUCAUAUUUAAACAACAUUUGGCACCCCUGGUAAACGAUGUUCAGCCACCUACAUUUCCGACUGCCUGCUUUCCAAGUCUGUCAUUUUGUUAAACCUCUUUGUUUCCAUAAUCAAAUGUUAUGAGUUUUGACAGUAGUGUGUUAAUUAAAGACUGCGAUGACAAAACUGACACACUUCUUCCGUAAUACAUUAUUUCUUUAACUCUGUGCCAUUUUGAGUUUGCCUUUCUAUUGGCAGCUAAUAAGUAAUUUAGAAUUAAUUAAGUUAAUUGGUGAGAAGUGCAGCACAAAUCAAUAAGCUUUCAUAAUCACCAUGUAUGACUUGAGUGAGUCUGAUUUAAUAGGAGAACAGUGAGUACUUACUCUCACACCAGCAGCAGAAAUGACAUUUUAGACAGUUUGGGAAGAGAAGAGACGGGGCUGAGACACACUUCCUACUCCCCUGCUGUCAGAGCAUUAUUACUAAUGAUGAUAUGGUUGGUGCUUCUCUAGUCAUAAUCACUUACAGUAAAUAGUUACUGUAUAUGCUGAAUCAUUGGAUUGAGUUAAGGAAGAGUUGAGAGAACCUUGUAGAGAUUUUGAUUAGGCCUUUUCAGAAUAAUUGAACAUUGUUUAUUCUGAAUAUUUUGAAAUGAAAGGCAAACUGACGUGAA
rnacentral:lncRNA from 13 species